rnacentral:rRNA from 1 species
GACGAACGCUGGCGGCGUGCCUAAUACAUGCAAGUCGAGCGGACAGAAGGGAGCUUGCUCCCGGAAGUUAGCGGCGGACGGGUGAGUAACACGUGGGCAACCUACCCUGUAGAUCGGGAUAACAUCGAGAAAUCGGUGCUAAUACCGGAUAAUCAUUUGAAGUGCAUGCUUCGAAUGUAAAAGAUGGCUCCGGCUAUCACUACGGGAUGGGCCCGCGGCGCAUUAGCUGGUUGGUAAGGUAAUGGCUUACCAAGGCAACGAUGCGUAGCCGACCUGAGAGGGUGAUCGGCCACACUGGGACUGAGACACGGCCCAGACUCCUACGGGAGGCAGCAGUAGGGAAUCUUCCGCAAUGGACGGAAGUCUGACGGAGCAACGCCGCGUGAGUGAUGAAGGUUGUCGGAUCGUAAAGCUCUGUUGUUAGGGAAGAACAAGUGCCGUUUGAAUAAGGCGGCACCUUGACGGUACCUAACCAGAAAGCCACGGCUAACUACGUGCCAGCCGCCGCCGUAACAC